rnacentral:rRNA from 1 species
GCAUAUAAUUAAGCGGAGGAAAAGAAACUAACUAGGAUUCCCUCAGUAACGGCGAGUGAAGCGGGACUAGCUCAGGAUGUGAAUCUGCGCUUUUAUGGCGCCGAAUUGUGGUCUAUAGACUUUGACGUUAUCUGCCGGGCCAAGUUCCUUGGAAAAGGACAGCUGAGAGGGUGACACUCCCGUCCGCCUGGUAGAGUGAGUCUUUGUCAACGAGUCGAGUUGUUUGGGAUUGCAGCUCUAAUUUGGUGGUAAAUUCCAUCUAAAGCUAAAUAUUGGUGGGAGACCGAUAGCGUACAAGUACCGUGAGGGAAAGAUGCAAAGAACUUUGAAAAGAGAGUUAAAGAGUACCUGAAAUUGCUGAAACGGAAGCGAAGGAAACCAGUGUUUGUUGGUUCAUAUUUCCCUUGUCACUUGUGAUGUGGGCGCUGUGAGCUUGCGUGGGUUUGCUUUGGUUGAUUCCUUUGGAAGAGCGCAGUCAGAGUUGAUGUCUGUUGCUAGCACUGGUUUUGACUUAAGCAGACGAAAUGGUUUUCUUUACCCCGUCUUGAAACACGGACCAAGGAGUCUAACAUAUGUGCGAGUACAGGGGUGUCAAACCCCGGUGCGUAAUGAAAGUGACAGUGGUUGGAAUUUUGCACAAUCCGCCGGCCUCAAUCCUUCGGGAGAACGGUCUGAGUGUGAGCAUACAUGUUGGGACCCGAAAGAUGGUGAACUAUGCCUGAAUAGGGUGAAGCCAGGGGAAACUCUGGUGGAGGCUCGUAGCGAUUCUGACGUGCAAAUCGAUCGUCAAAUUUGGGUAUAGGGGCGAAAGACUAAUCGAACCAUCUAGUA